AGAGUUUGAUCCUGGCUCAGGACGAACGCUUGCGGCGUGCCUAAGAAAUGCAAGUCGAACGGGGGCUUCGGCCCCAGUGGCGAACGGUCGCGUAACACGUAAGCAACCUGCCCUGAAGUGGGGGACAACAUCCCGAAAGGGGUGCUAAUACCGCAUGUGGUCACGAGUCGGCAUCGACUUGUGUCUAAAGAUUUAUCGCUUCAGGAUGGGCUUGCGGCCUAUCAGGUAGUUGGUGGGGUAAUGGCCUACCAAGCCGACGACGGGUAGCUGGUCUGAGAGGACGAUCAGCCGGAUUGGGACUGAGAUACGGCCCAGACUCCUACGGGGGGCAGCAAUUAGGAAUCUUGCGCAAUGGGGGAAACCCUGACGCAGCGACGUCGCGUGAAGGAUGAAGGCCCUCGGGUCGUAAACUUCUUUUGAGUGGGAAGAAAUUUGACGGUACCACUCGAAUAAGCCCCGGCUAACUACGUGCCAGCAGCCGCGGUAAUACGUAGGGGGCGAGCGUUGUCCGAAGUUACUGGGCGUAAAGCGCGCGUAGGCGGUUAUUUAAGUCUGGGGUGAAAGGUUCAGCGCUCAACGUGAACAGUGCCUUGGAUACUGGAUGACUUGAGUCUGGGAGGGGGAAGGGGAAUUCCUGGUGUAGCGGUGAAAUGCGUAGAUAUCAGGAGGAACACCGGUGGCGAAGGCGCCUUCCUGGCCUAAGACUGACGCUGAGGUGCGAAAGCGUGGGGAGCAAACGGGAUUAGAUACCCCGGUAGUCCACGCCGUAAACGAUGAGUGCUAGGUGUCGGGGGUAUCGA
rnacentral:rRNA from 1 species